AUGCAGUCUGAUCAGCCAUGCCGCGUGAAGGAUGAAGGCCUUCUGGGUUGUAAACUGCUUUUAUCUGGGAAUAAACCUCCUAUUUUGUAUGGAGUUGACGGUACCAGAUGAAUAAGCACCGGCUAACUCCGUGCCAGCAGCCGCGGUAAUACGGAGGGUGCAAGCGUUAUCCGGAUUUAUUGGGUUUAAAGGGUGCGUAGGCGGACUAUUAAGUCAGUGGUGAAAUCUCCCAGCUUAACUUGAAAACUGCCAUUGAUACUGUUAGUCUUGAAUUUUGUUGAGGUAGGCGGAAUGUGUCAUGUAGCGGUGAAAUGCAUAGAUAUGACUUAGAACACCAAUUGCGAAGGCAGCUUGCUAAACAAAUAUUGACGCUGAGGCACGAAAGCGUGGGGAUCAAACAGGAUUAGAUACCCUGGUAGUCCACGCCCUAAACGAUGAUUACUCGACAUACGCGAUACACAGUGUGUGUCUGAGCGAAAGCAUUAAGUAAUCCACCUGGGAAGUACGACCGCAAGGUUGAAACUCAAAGGAAUUGACG
rnacentral:rRNA from 1 species